rnacentral:rRNA from 1 species
UCUUGGUCAUUUAGAGGAAGUAAAAGUCGUAACAAGGUUUCCGUAGGUGAACCUGCGGAAGGAUCAUUAGUGAAUUUGUGGCCUUCAAGGCUCACAUUCUCUAUCCUUUACACACCUGUGCACCCUUCUGAAGCGGAGAGUUAUUAGGCAUUAGCCGAGCGCCUCCCUUCGGUUAUUAUAUCAAACUCAAACUACGUUUACUAGAAUGUAUACCGUCUUGUUGUAACGACAAGUACAAUCCAAUAAAACUUUCAGCAACGGAUCUCUUGGCUCAGGCAUCGAUGAAGAACGCAGCGAAAUGCGAUAAGUAAUGUGAAUUGCAGAAUCCAGUGAAUCAUCGAAUCUUUGAACGCAACUUGCGCCCUCUGGUAUUCCGGAGGGCAUGCCUGUUUGAGUGUCGUGAACACCUCAACCCUCUAAUGUUUUUGCAUUGAAGGCGUUGGUAGUGAGCGCUGCCGGUCUUUGGGUCGGCUCGCUUUAAAAUAAUUAGCUGGAUCCAUUCUGACCUGGUUCUACUCGGCGUAAUAAGUUAUUAUCGUCGAGGACGCCUAGCCUUCUAGGCAGGCGGCCACAGUAAGGGUGUUUGAACCGCUUCCAACACGUCUUGCUCUUGUAGCAAACACUUGAACCUCUGACCUCAAAUCACGCAGGACUACCCGCUGAACUUAAGCAUAUCAAUAAGCGGAGGA